AAUAAAUUAAAAAAAAAAAAAGUCUUGAGAAAUAAUGCUAGAAUUUCUUCCAGAGCAAGAAUGGAGGUCACAUUUCUGCAAACAGAUUGUUUAAAGAUCACAGCGGAAGAAGGCUUUUCUCUUGUACACAAGAGUUAGGAAGAGAACUGACAAAGGAAAGAUUAUGCAGUGAGGUUUGGGACGGGCUGCGGCAUGGGGAAGCAGAUUAGAACCAUAAGACUGAAGCUAGCAAGACAGCGAUCUGUGCUUAAUAGACUACGACUUUAAUGGGCUUUAACGGCAAAGAGAAAACAGAGCGGCUCUAGCACAGCGAUUGUGGAUGAUGCAGUUUUCCCUGUCUGAAACCCUAAGGGCUCCUUGUACGUUGAGAAGAAUUUAUGGUCAGCAAUCUCACAAUGAUAUUAAAAGUGCCCCCAUAGGAUGAAACUACAAGAAAGUUAUAUGAAACGCUGUCAUCUACCUGUGAACUGCACUGUGAAGAACGGUAACUCAUGUACAUUUUAACUUCAGGCAUAUUUUGUUCUGUAUGUUCUCAUCUUUGACCCCUUGAUUAAUUCCAGAAGGCCUUAGAAAAAAUAAUUCACAAGAUUCAUGAUAGUGUUAUAUAUGUCCUGCAUUGAGAAAGGCCUGUGUAAGAACCUCCUUCCAGUAGUGUAUGAGUUCCAAACAUGCCAUGUUUACUCCUAGAUAUGUGUCAAGACUUGUGUUUCAGAAAUUCUUCCAUGUCAUGCAACAUGCCUGGCGAGUCCCUUGAAACUCAAGGUAUUUAAUGCAAAGCAUUUUAAGUAUAAGGUGGAGGUAGCUUAGUGGGUAAAGUGCUUGCCAUUCAUCUUAGUUUCCAUUGCUUUGAAGAGGCUCCAUGAUCAUGAAAAUUCUUUAUAAGGAAAACAUUUACUUGGGUCUGGCUUACAGUUCAGAGGUUUAGUCCAUUAUCAUGGAGUUCCCACCAUGCAGGCAGAUAUGAU
rnacentral:lncRNA from 1 species